rnacentral:lncRNA from 1 species
UGAGAUUUGCUUUUGCUCCUGACAAUUAAAGCAGCAUCCUGAGCUGAGAAAGACCCAGAAGUUCCCACCAGGAUGGACCGCAGCUCUCAGAUAAGGCACAGGGCACUCUCUCAAUAAAAGGUUUCUCAUCCAAAGCCUUGACUGAGGCAUCUGGGGCAGAGUGUCAUCUGCUCUCUUCUGCGAGGUUACCGUCGCAUUUUCAGACAUCGGUGUUGAAGACAAUAAAAUUCCCAUCAUUGAAGCCCUAGUCAGACAUUGAAAAGCAGCCAAACUCCUAAAGCUGGGACGCUGGAAAUAAUCUGUUUCCCUGCCAAAGCCAGAAGAAAGUUAACAAGCAAUUUAAGUUUCAAGGCAAGCCGUUUUCACGUGUGUUGUUCAUUUAUUUGUCUUUGCUAGAUAGGUUUUUGCUUCCUUUCGGUCCUUAACUUUUAACUGUGCAAGGCUGGCAGGGAGGAGAAUGAUGUGUUGUGGGGAGGAUUUGGAAGGAGACUCAGACAA